AGCAUACCAAAGUUAUAACAUGAAAUAAGAACUUUAACAUUUUUACAUUCAAGGUCACAGUGACCUUGACCUUCAAAUGAAUGACCUUGAAAUGUCCAGUGGUUACUUACUAGUUCUGGCCAACCUUCAUGUCAAGUUUCAAGACUCUAGGUCCAAGCAUACCAAAGUUAUAACAACUUUAACAUUUUUAUAUUGAAGGUCACAGUGACCUUCACCUUCAAAUGAAUGACCUUGAAAUGACCAGUGGUCAUCUGUUAAUCCUGGCCAACCUUCAUGUCAAGUUUGAAGACUCUAGGUCCAAGCAUACCAAAGUUAUACCAUGAAAUAAGAACUUUAACAUUUUUACAUUCAAGGUCACAGUGACCUUGACCUUCAAAUGAAUGACCUUGAAAUGACCAGUGGUUACUAACUAGUUAUGGCCAACCUUCAUGUCAAGUUUCAAGACUCUAGGUCCAAGCAUACCAAAGUUAUAACAACUUUAACAUUUUUUAUAUUGAAGGUCACAGUGACCUUGACCUUCAAAUGAAUGACCUUGAAAUGACCAGUGGUCAUCUGUUAAUCCUGGCCAACCUUCAUGUCAAGUUUGAAGACUCUAGGUCCAAGCAUACCAAAG